GAAAAAGCAGGGAUCUGUUUCUCUUAAGACCCGGCCACUCGUAAGCCUAAGGGAAAUUCAGUGCAUUAUUAUUGGGUGAACCUCUGUAUUUGUGCUGAUUCCAAAAGGUUCAGUAAAUAGUGCAACACUU
rfam:Amborella trichopoda AMTR_V1.0_contig_16148, whole genome shotgun sequence.